rnacentral:misc_RNA from 1 species
GCCCGUCCACGCUCGGGCGCCGUAGCCCCGUCACUGGUGACGGGCCCCGGUCUCGAUGCGGAUCCUGGCCCUCCGAGCCCGAGGGCGCGGUGGGCCCAAGCGCGCGGCCGUCGGAUGGGGGUCUGGAGCGGCGAGUGGUGGGCUGCUGCGCACGUCGCUCCGCGCCCCUUGCCGGCAGAGGGCUUUGUUUCGACCCCUGGACGAGGAGCCGGGUGACGCAGCGCCAUGCUGUGCGGCAUCCUCGGACC